CAAUAGCGUAUAUUUAAGUUGUUGCAGUUAAAAAGCUCGUAGUUGGAUUUCGGAUGGGGCUUGCCGGUCCGUCGUUUCGAUGUGCACUGGCCAGUCCUAUCUUGUUGUCGGGGACUAGCUCCUGGGCUUCACUGUCCGGGACUAGGAGCUGACGAGGUUACUUUGAGUAAAUUAGAGUGUUCAAAGCAAGCCUACGCUCUGAAUACAUUAGCAUGGAAUAACACGAUAGGACUCUGGCUUAUCUUGUUGGUCUGUGAGACCAGAGUAAUGAUUAAGAGGGACAGUCGGGGGCAUUCGUAUUUCAUUGUCAGAGGUGAAAUUCUUGGAUUUAUGAAAGACGAACUUCUGCGAAAGCAUUUGUCAAGGAUGUUUUCAUUAA
rnacentral:rRNA from 1 species